UCCUCGAUGGCAGCUGACACCACAAUGGGAUGCGCCUAUCGCUCCUGAGCUCGUGGGUAGGUCGGCCGUCGUCUUCGGUGGCCGGAGCCGCCGGCAAUCGCCGUCGAGGCGAGCCCCUCCCUCUGUCAGGCACGCCACGAGCGGGAGGUUGAAGACGCCAGGCCAAGAGGGCCCCUUCCCGCGCGACCCUACCUGGCAGCGUCUCGGCGUUCACCCCGCCACGGGCCCGCGUCUGUAAGUGGAAGCGUAUUCUGGGUAUGCACUUUCGAUGUACGAAAGCGUAUUCGCUUCCUCUUUUACUCGAGAUACGUUUUCUUAGUUCUGAAAGCGUAUUCAAUUUGCACUUCAGCUCAAAAUAUGUUUCUCUUUGCAGAAAACGUAUUCAAUUUAAAGGCGCGUUCAGGUUUUCCUCCAGGGGCCUGUUUGCUGAAAAAAUUCACCGAUAGGUCCCUGAGAUUCAACCCUUCGUAUCUCGACAACCGUAACUCCGAUUGAGGUGAUUCCAACGCUCACGUUCUCUGUUCAUUGAGCUCUUUCCGUUCGUAUCAUUUUCAUCAUCUUUUCACAUAGUGAAAAUGACCACUUUGCCCUUGCCCGUAAACAGCCCCCUCCGAGAGAGAACUGUUUCCGGCAACUCUUUCCGCGAUGGUUUCACACUUCUUCCCGAAGUAUUUGUCGACCCCAGGCAAGCCAACCUCUUAUCAUGAGCCCCGAACUGGCAUGUUGACCUUGCUUGCACCUCGUUUGUGUGCUUUGUUGCAGUAGUUUCUUGUCUAUUCCGUCUGUUGUUAUUUUAGUCGUGUUAUAUGUUUUUGUUAUCUGUCUUGCAUGCUUAUGCUUUCAUGAAAUAAGUUGACAUGCUAGUUUACUGUUGUUACUGAUAAAAUCAUGCCUCUGUCUAGUUUAUUUUCAUGAUAGUAGUAUCGAUGCUAGGAUAAUCCUGUUACACUAGUGAAAUUACUAGUACUCGCUAUUGCCAUGUUUCGCAUGCUGUCAUUGUUCAUUUGAAAAGCUUGAUUUUGUUACUGCAUCGGUACGUUGCAUGAUAGUUGUUGCAUUCAUGUUAAAAUGCUCGCAUGAUGAUUGAUGAUGGAGAAGUUAAUAAUAUGACUUAAUAACAAACCUCCUCCGUCAUCACUGGGAUAUCAUAGUGCCACCAAAUCGAGCUUUCUCCAGUGCAACCACAUCUACCUUGUGGGGAGGUCCUAGCUGGGUCUAUUAUCAUGCCUCUCGCCGGUGCCUUCUGCGAGGGAAGGUUAUGGGCACGCGUUACCCUGAUCAGGUAGGCAGACAUAAGCCUUGUGUGCCCGGGUUAGGUUUUGAGCUCAUGUCCCCGUUUGGGACCGUUUUGCCACGACGGUGGCCGUUGGUACCUUUGGUAGGUACGGGGCCACCCAGGACUGAACCCAUAAGGGGUGUUGGUCGGAGUGGCCGGGAGAGUGUCAUGGCAGUAGAUCGGUUUUGUCGGAACGCCGUUGGUCCACCCGAAUGGGAGUGCGAGGCCAUGGGUUCCGUGGUGUGGGUAAAGUGCGCUAGCUCUACAGAGUGUAUAUUAAGUCUAUCGAUAGUAGCACAGUUUGUAGUAGGUCACACUAUCGGGUCUUGGUCGAAAUGGAGGAUAAACCUGCUAAUAACUUAUGGGAUAACUAAGAUGUGAUAAAUAAUGUGGUGACUUGGACUAUGAGAAAAUCGUGAGAAGUCACGAUGAUGUGUUGAUAUGACCCCGAGACGAGGUCUCAGUAAGUCAUGCGUGUGCUCCGAGGAGCCACGGUAGAGUAAGUGGUUGUUGCAUGAGGUUAAUACAUUAUGUCUUCAUGAGAGGUAACUGGUAUUUUAUUUUCAGCGUAGUUUCAUGAUGCCAUGCCAUUUUUUGAUAUGCUAUAUAUGCUUUGUUGUUGUUAUGUUAGAAGUAAAUUUGAUAUGCCAUGCUAGUAGAUGCUAUGAUGUUGUUCAUGCUUAGUUUGAUUUAUGAUUAUUGUUAAUGUUAUGACAUGCUUAGAAGUUGUGUUGGAGUAGAUUGUUGCAUAUGCUUGGUUCUUGCUUUGUCAUCUGUUUGUUUCGAUUCCAUGUAUUUGGUUGUCUUGCAAGUACAUUCAAUGUACUGACCUGGCGUGUCAUGCCAGUUUUGUAGGUCGUGCCCAGGUUAUUCGCUUGUUCCGUUGUGCUAGGCCGUAAUCUUGCCAGUCCUGUGAGUUGUGGAGCCCAGCCUAAGUGAGACGGUGCUAAACCAAGACUUCCGCCGCCCUUUAUAUAGACUUCCGCUGCCAUGUAAAUAGCCUUAGGGCUAUGCCAGAAGAUUGUAUUCAUCAAUGAUGUAAUCUUAUACACAUGUAUUUGAUGAAUAUUCUUGUACCUGGAAUGCUGUAUCAUGGACCUGUCGUGCGUCAGGU
rnacentral:lncRNA from 1 species